rnacentral:rRNA from 1 species
UGAGUGAGUGGCGAACGGGUGAGUAACACGUGAGAAACCUGCCCCGAAGUUCGGAAUAACCCAGAGAAAUUUGGGCUAAUACCGGAUACCUUCCUUGAACCGCAUGGUUCGCUGAAGAAAGAUUUAUCGCUUUGGGAGGGUCUCGCGGCCUAUCAGCUUGUUGGUGGGGUAAUGGCCUACCAAGGCAACGACGGGUAGCUGGUCUGAGAGGAUGAUCAGCCACACUGGGACUGAGACACGGCCCAGACUCC